UGGAUAUCUCAAAGUAAAGGCACACUGCUCAAGAAGAUUUUCAAAUGUAAGGCAACAUAUUUGAACUGAAAAAAAUGUCAGGUAUCCCUUCAGAUCAGCUACUUUGGCCUUAAAUUUGAAAUUCACAGGAAAUUCACUUUGAAUUCUCACUUUAGUGAAUAACCCUGCAUGUUAAAUGCCUGUUGUGAUGAACCCACUCCUAAAAGAAUAUGAUCCACUAAGCUCCUACCUCCCUGUCUUGUUCCCUAACUCUUUGGACCCUUAAUGAGAGCUGGACUGUCCAGACGCUAUUAGAGGGACAAACAUAAAACUUCUCUGGAACUCCAACCUGGCCACUUGUUCCCAGUCAUCUUGCACCUUCCAUUUUACCAUUUUCCCAGUGACUCAGAAAAUCACUUUUUGGAGGAAAACUUCUAUCCCCAGAACUGAACAAUCACUCCCUGAAACCACCAGGGAGCUCCCCUUUACCACUGAGCUAUUGCACCCGGUAAUCACUUUUGACUGUAUGGCGUUUGGACAAUUCUGCAUGGAUCUGAGCGCUACAUUUCCAGAAUGGGUGCUUGGAUCUGCCCUUUAAAAUGAUGUACGGAGUGUCUGUCUACCUCACUGUUUGAUGGAUGUUUUGGGGGUAUUUCUAUGUUUCGCUCUCUGUAUCUGGGAGAUAAUAAUUUUACCGCUUAUCAAUUCAAUUAUCUCCCAGACACAGAGAUGCCUGGGUGGGUUUAAGAAGUUCUGAAUAGAAAGCUUGGGGUCUGGGUAUAAAUGUAUGUAUGUUUUGCUGAAUAAACCUUGUACCCUUCAAGUCUCGACUGAUGUUUGGGUAUGCAGGAGUCAUAAUCACUGCUUCACUAUGGAAC